rnacentral:rRNA from 1 species
UACGUAGGGUGCGAGCGUUAAUCGGAAUUACUGGGCGUAAAGCGUGCGUAGGUGGUUCGUUGUGUCUGUGGUGAAAGCCCCGGGCUUAACCUGGGAAUGGCCAUGGAAACUGGCGAGCUGGAGUCUGGCAGAGGGGAGUGGAAUUCCGCGUGUAGCAGUGAAAUGCGUAGAGAUGCGGAGGAACACCGAUGGCGAAGGCAGCCCCCUGGGCUAAGACUGACGCUGAGGCACGAAAGCGUGGGGAGCAAACAGG